rnacentral:rRNA from 1 species
AACGAACGCUGGCGGCAUGCCUAACACAUGCAAGUCGAACGAGACCUUCGGGUCUAGUGGCGCACGGGUGCGUAACGCGUGGGAACCUGCCCUUAGGUUCGGAAUAACUCCCCGAAAGGGGUGCUAAUACCGGAUAAUGCCUUCGGACCAAAGAUUUAUCGCCUUUGGAUGGGCCCGCGUUGGAUUAGCUAGUUGGUAGGGUAAAAGCCUACCAAGGCGACGAUCCAUAGCUGGUCUGAGAGGAUGAUCAGCCACACAGGGACUGAGACACGGCCCAGACUCCUACGGGAGGCAGCAGUGGGGAAUAUUGGACAAUGGGCGAAAGCCUGAUCCAGCAAUGCCGCGUGAGUGAUGAAGGCCUUAGGGUUGUAAAGCUCUUUUACCCGGGAUGAUAAUGACAGUACCGGGAGAAUAAGCUCCGGCUAACUCCGUG